UGCAUUUUAAAAUCAUUUCUUCUCUAUCAGGGAUCAGUAUAAGAAAUGGCAUACUCUCGAAUCCAGGCAAGGAAUUUAUUCCACCUAAUCCAUGGUCUAGUUCUGGCUUGUCUGGAAAAUCUUCAGGGACAAUGUCAGUAAUCAGCAAAGUAAAUUCAGUUGGUUCCAGCUCUACAAGUUCUAGUGGACUGACUGGAAACUAUGUCCCUUCCUUUCUGAAAAAAGAAAUCGGUUCUGCUAUGCAGAGGGUACACCUAGCACCUAUUCCAGACCCUUCCCCUGGUUAUUCCUCCCUGAAGGCCAUGAGACCUCAUCCUGGGCGACCAUUCUUCCACACCCAGCCUAGAAGCACUCCUGGGUUGAUACCACGGCCUCCAGCCGCCCAGCCAGUGCAUGGCCGGACAGACUGGGCUUCCAAGUACGCAUCUCGGCGAUGACUGUCUGCCUUGGUGAUGAAUCUCUUCCUAGGGAGAAGCAGGAUACUUUCCCUCAGCUGACUGGUGUUCUACCUGCAAGAUGUGCAGAGGGCAUAAAAGCAAAUCAACACUUUAUAGUUAUUCUUCUGAACUAAGACAUGUCAAUAUUCUUUUUUAAAGUUUUUUUUUUAAAUAUUGAUUUGAAUGCAGUAGGCUUUUUUGUAUAAAAUUAUUUUAUUCUAAAACUGGGUCCCAUUAUUUUCUUAAACAACAGCAUUUUGUAUAUAUGGAUUAUGUUUUAGCAUUUUAUACAGUCAACUUUGUAAUGAACUUUUUAAAAAUUAAUUGAUUUUCCUUUGGGGUUCCAGAUAAUAUUUUCUACAGAUUUUGAAAAAUGUAAUAAUAUUAAUGCAGUAUUGCAACAGGGGUGCAAUUUAAGGCUAUGUGAUAGAGGGUUAUUUACUCAGUGUGUGCAGAUAUUUAUGAAGUGGUGAAAUUUCAAGUGUGGCUCACUAGGUACUUCAGGCCUUCUUGGACUGUUGUUAGAAAAGUGAUCCUCUGCUUUUCUUAAUAGGUCAUUGGUUUGAUUUUUGGAUACCACUCUGCUGUUCUAAAAGGACUAUUAUAUAAUUCACUUUGUUUUACUUUUGUUCCCCAGAUGAAAGAACUCUAAGUAAAUACAUUUUUAAAAAUUUUUCUGACACCCUUUAAUGUGGUUGCAGAUCUCAGAUGAAACCAAGCUUAAUUAUACUAUGCCAUUAUAUUCUAAUUUAUUCCAUUUUUGAAAUCAAGUUGUAUGUGUACCAAUAAAAGAGAUUUCUGCUUCAAAAGGCUCUCAACAUGAAGGUUAACACAGUCAAUCAAACUUGCAUUCCUGCCAAGAUGCAUGGCCAAAAAACUAAGUAUCAAAGCAGCAGAAGGUUUUUGAUUAUAGUAACUGAGAUGGAAUUUUGUGCCUAGCUCAGUUCUCCAGAUCUGGCUAGGAGCAGUCAAUGACUAAUGUUCUGUCCUAGCCAAAUUCUCAGGACAAUUUGGGGAGCAGAAAGAGUUAUGGCAGAGGUUCCACUCAUCUACAAAGUCACAGUCACAUGCCACAUUUGAUCUCCUAACCCUGGUGUAGUUUCUUUCAAGAGUGAGAACUUUAUUUGUUGGGCAGAGGCUGUUCCAUUGAGAGGAAUGUUUACAGCAGUUUCAAAAAUGACAAAGUCAGUUUGGAGACAGAAAAAGACAAAAGGUCCAGUCUCAUCCAUCUCUAUAUGGUACAUUUGCCUCAGUUAUGGUUGCCUUAAAGGCAAGAGGGAAGGUCACCAUCAGUGAACGCAAUGCAAUCUCAACAGUGUAUUGAUUCAUAUUCUCCUAGGGCUCAAACUACUCUCUAUUGGUUCCAGGAUAAUGACAAAUUGAACCAUAUGUAAGUAAUCUUUUAUUUUUUAUUUUUUUUUGAGACAGAGUCUCACUCUGUCACCCAGGCUGGAGUGCAGUGGCGCGAUCUUGGCUCUCUGCAACCUCUGCCUCCCAGGUUCAAGCCUCCUGAGUAACUGGGACUACAGGCGCCCGCCACCACGCCCAGCUAAUUUUUGUAUUUUUAUUAGAGACGGGGUUUCACCGUGUUAGCCAGGACGGCCUCGAUCUCCUGACCUUGUGAUCCACCCUCCUCCACCUCCCAAAGUACUGGGAUUACAGGCAUGAGCCACCGCACCCAGCCAAGUGAUCAUUUUUAUAGGUUAAAAUGAUAGGUGAAAUGAAUAUAGACACUUUCAUAUGGUUCAACCUAAUGACUUGGUAAAUUAUUGCCUUGGUGUAUUAAUAAUAUGUUGCAUUCUGAACAAAUUACCAUGGCUUCCAAAGGGCCCUAACCUAAAAUCGGAGAGUAAUUUAUGCUUUGGAGAAUCUGACUCAAAUAUAUACUUGACCAAGCACCAUGAUCCCUAGGGGCAUGAGAAAAGCACAUAAUGGAUGUGGAUGUGAUAGGUGGUCUUUUCCUGUUAACAAGCUGGCAGCAAAGCUUCAGAAAAUAUAUAUGCAAGCACAACUUGAAGCUGAAUUCAUUUCUGUAUUAUAUUCUCAACUCGUUAUCUAAAGCAUCAGAACAUGUGUUUUCAGAGAUGAGUCCUUUACUAUAAGGUUAAUAUUUAUUUUCAUUUUCUGUAUUAUAUAUGAAAAGUAAAUUAAUGUGAAACCUGGCCCAGCUUGCUGGAAAGCAGGUUUUAAAUUGUAAAUAUUCCUUAGAGGAGCAAAUGGAUUGUUUAAUACCAUAGUCUCAGUAAUCUAGCUUAUAUAAGGUCAUUACAUUUUUUAACUGAAAAACCUAGUUACCUGAUUAUUGCACAUUAUAAAAUUGUUUUUCUAAUACUUUAUAGGGCCCAACUUCAGAAAAUACUUCGCUUUUUUCUUUUUAUGCUUUCGUUUGUUUACCAGCAAGCAACUUCCCUGGGGAAGCCAAACACAUAUUCAUAAAAAAAAUCAAGUAGCUGAUGUGCAGUUGAGAAAACUAAAGGACUGAAAAAACAAAUUUUAACUAGCAAAUGCUGUGAAUUACUCUUCCUCCCCUUCUCUGAAAUGGGUAAAGGACAAAUUGUGUAAAAAAACCUAUGCACUAUAGAAGGGAAUAGUAACCAUUUCUUUUGUCUCUCUGUUUCUGUUCUGACUGAGAACCUGCAGCCAUUUCUUGUUACAUGAAAACAAAAUGCUACUUGUUACCUCUAUUUUUUGUUACUAUAGAAUUAUGAAAUGUAAUGUAAGACACCAACAGAAAUGAUAUACCUGUAACUGUACCUAUCAGGACUAUACCUCAUUUACAGUCAGAAAGCUUACUGGGAUGUCAGGAAAUGAUACAGGGUUGGUUCUCAUUUCGUGCCGAAAUGAGACAGAAAUUCAGUGACGAAGGUGCGUUGUAGGGGUAUCUGCAUUUGCAUAAAAACUACUCUUGACAUGAUUGUUCAUUUUACAAAAAAAUUCCAUUAAUUACCAAGCCCUCACCCAGCUCAUGUGUGAUAGGAUUUAUGUAGGAAGAAACUUGAUUUUCAAAUAAUUUUUUAAAUGUAUCUCUUGCCUAAAGGACUAUAUACAUCUAAUAAAGUAACACUAUGUCAUCUUCUGGAGUUAUCAAAAAUUGUAUACAAUCAAGACAACACAAAAUAAGAAUUAUUUUAUUUUUGAGUGCAAAUACAGGUACUGUUGGAGUUGAUGGGCACCAUGCUUUCUCAUGAAGUAGCAUUUCCCUACCAUCAAGCCAUUGUUUUGUGCCAUUCAGGAGAGGAAAAAAAGGAAUUUAUGCUGUACAUUUCAGUUCAGUGUAUGACCAAAAGCAAUAUGUUUAUAAGAAGAUGUUUGACAUACUAAUUAUUUUAUAUCAUUUAAACCAUACUGUAGCAACAUAAUAUAUGGAGCUAAUUUUUAGAAUUAUUUUUACGAUUUCCAACCAAAUGUACUGUACUGUUAUAUAAUUUAUUGUGAGGACCUUCUCAUGGAAGCCAUUAGGAAAACAAACUAGAGGUAAAUAUCACAUUAAUCUGCAUUAUCAGUUUCUCAUAGACACUGUGCUAAUGUGAAUUUUAAAUGACCUGCAUCAAGUCUUCUGAUCUCAGAUAACUCAGUACAGAUAGCAAUUAGUCAGCUGAUUUGAUUACAAUGGAGUAACCGACAAUAUAUUUAUUUAUAAAGCACAUAUUCAUAAUAACGAGAAUUCAGAAAACCACUUAAGCAAGACCCUUCUGAAAUAAAAAAUGUUGCUUUUUAAAUAGUUUGUCCUAAGGUGUUUAAACAUGUCAACCUUAUGUAAGGAAAAAUUUCCUGGUCCAAA
rnacentral:lncRNA from 1 species